UACAAACUUAGGGAGUUUGUCCUGUAACCGGUUGCCAAUUCGAUCCUUCAUCAGAUGCCGAUGUUUGGCAGCCCCGCUUCUGUCAGCCUGCCUCAGGGCAGCUGUGGCUACAAACAUAGCUAAUGUGUGCUUGAAUGGGUGAAUGAGUGACUGCAGUGUAAAGUGCUUUGGAGUCGUACAAGUACAAGCCAUUUACCAUUUGUAGCUCUAUGUACAGAGUCAGGUCAUCAUUCAGAAAUAAUUGAUCAAGCUGGGAGUGUUUUAGGAACCAAGUUCACCCUGUUUGGGAGCAAAGAACCCUGUCUACUGGGUAGGUUGGGUUGUGGUGGUGCCACAACCCCCCAUCUUGAUUUCAGGGUUCACCUACCGUGUCCGGGGGCCUGGUACCCCUUUAGGGUGCCGGUGCCCAGACCUGGGAGUAUUGGAUGUGAGUGGUAUAUGCGAAUGUGUAUACGCCGUCUUUUUUUUUUUUGUAGAGCCUGUGUGUUGUGCGUGGGGGCACUAAGGUGGGAAGGUGAGAAUGAGACUGUAUUUAUUUUCUCAUUUAUUUUCUCUGUUUGUUUACUUGUCAGGGUUGGGUCUGAACUGCUCCCUCUCCCAAGAACAUCUCAAGUCCCCGCUAAGUGUGGAGCCCAUCCCCCGUCCUGCCCCCCUCCGCUGGCUGGUGCCUUGGCCCACUGCUGCAUUGGUGGUACUUGGUGUCUGGGGGUGCAUGCCCAGGGCCCUACUGCAGACAGUAGAAGUCAAGGCUGCAUAGAGAUGUAUAGAGAUGAGCACCAGGUCUUACUAGUAAGGACAGGACUCUGCAGGAAUUCCCGAGUUGCUCUCAAUUGACCCUGUCUGACUCUGACUGGGAGCCAGACACAGAAGACCUAGUUGAGCAGACUCAGCUGGGGGGUUAAGGGGUCAAAGAAACAGAGGCCUGGGAUGAGCUAGAAUUCAAGCCAGGAGCAGAGCAAGAGAAAGAGCACCAACUCAGCCAGCAAAGGGCUGAUAACUUGAUGUUGAGAAGCCAGAUGUCGCACACAUCCAGCUCAUAUUUCAUCCCACAAAGGGCCCAGGUUACCAGCUUUUGAGCACAUUGAACUACAGUCUCCUUCAACUGUUUCCUUUCAACAAUUAGCAUGGCAGAGCUACACAGUCGACAGUACAGAAGGGCAUUACCAUUCAAGAGCA